AGUCGACGGAGUUUCAUAGACAGAAGCCUUCGGGUGGAAGACUAUGCGACUUAGUGGCGGACGGGUGAGAACACGUGGGUAACCUGCCCCAUAAACUGGGACAACAGUUGGAAACGACUGCUAAUACCGGAUACUCUCGCGAGGAGGCAUCUCUUUGCGAGGAAAGGUGGCCUCUGCUUCAAGCUACCGAUAUGGGAUGGACCCGCGUCUGAUUAGCUAGUUGGUAGGGUAACGGCCUACCAAGGCGACGAUCAGUAGCCGGCCUGAGAGGGUGACCGGCCACAUUGGGACUGAGACACGGCCCAAACUCCUACGGGAGGCAGCAGUGGGGAAUCUUCCGCAAUGGGCGCAAGCCUGACGGAGCAACGCCGCGUGAAUGAAGAAGGUCUUCGGAUCGUAAAGUUCUGUUCUUAGGGAAGAAGUCUUAGAUUGUGAAUAAUGAUUUAAGGUGACGGUACCUAUGGAGAAAGCUCCGGCUAACUACGUGCCAGCAGCCGCGGUAAUACGUAGGGAGCGAGCGUUGUCCGGAAUUACUGGGCGUAAAGGGCGCGUAGGCGGGAACUUAAGUUAGAUGUGAAAACUCCGGGCUUAACCUGGAGACUGCAUUUAAAACUGGGUUUCUUGAGGGCAGGAGAGGAAAGUGGAAUUCCUAGUGUAGCGGUGAAAUGCGUAGAUAUUAGGAGGAACACCAGUGGCGAAGGCGACUUUCUGGACUGUACCUGACGCUGAGGCGCGAAAGCAUGGGGAGCGAACAGGA
rnacentral:rRNA from 1 species